GAUGAACGCUGGCGGCGUGCCUAAUACAUGCAAGUCGAGCGAACAGAUCAGGAGCUUGCUCCUUUGACGUUAGCGGCGGACGGGUGAGUAACACGUGGGUAACCUACCUAUAAGACUGGGAUCACUUCGGGAAACCGGAGCUAAUACCGGAUAACAUUUGGAACCGCAUGGUUCUAAAGUGAAAGAUGGUUUUGCUAUCACUUAUAGAUGGACCCGCGCCGUAUUAGCUAGUUGGUAAGGUAACGGCUUACCAAGGCGACGAUACGUAGCCGACCUGAGAGGGUGAUCGGCCACACGGGAACUGAGACACGGUCCAGACUCCUACGGGAGGCAGCAGUAGGGAAUCUGCCGCAAUGGGCGAAAGCCUGACGGAGCAACGCCGCGUGAGUGAUGAAGGGUUUCGGCUCGUAAAACUCUGUUAUUAGGGAAGAACAAACGUGUAAGUAACUGUGCACGUCUUGACGGUACCUAAUCAGAAAGCCACGGCUAACUACGUG
rnacentral:rRNA from 1 species